rnacentral:lncRNA from 1 species
AUCUGUGUCUAUAUUGAAACAUUUGACUCUCCCAACUUUGCACUCUUUCACAGGAUUUUAAAAGAUUUUUUCUUAUAGAUGAGUGUUGAUUUGGUACAGUGCCUUUGCUUUUGUUCUGCAUGAAUUAAGUACUAUAGUGCUAGUGCUGUUUCUUCAGAAAUAGUCCAUGUCAGCAAUACCUGAGAGUACCUCUGUGGCAAAAGUUGCAGCAGUUUUUUUGAGUCUUCCCUGAGGAAGGAUGAUUCUUAAGCUCAGUGUAUGCUUGGUAUUGCAGGUAUGCUAGCUUGGGGGUUGGUCUCAUUGGGAUGGGGUUCCAGAAUUGUUCUCACAUUAAGUUAGCCUGGCUGGGUAUGAGAUGCUAGGCUGAUUCUUAAGCCUACACCAUGUGUAGUGGGAUUACUGACUUGAACUCAGCUUCACCAUUGUGUAGGAUUGUUUCUUUUCUGGCGGGUCAGAUGCUAUCCACAUAGAAUAGCAUUAUGCCAUUGUUCUAAGUCUGAGUUCUAAUAUCUGGAGUUGUAGCCUGACAGUCACCUGAGUGUGACAGAAUGAUGUCAGAACCCCUGGUAUGUAUAGUACAGCUCAAUAACAAAUUUGUAGAACAUUUUUUCUUUG